UCUGCGUCAGGGUCCGUCUCGAAGCUGC
rnacentral:piRNA from 1 species